UACAGAGGGGGCAAGCGUUGUUCGGAAUUACUGGGCGUAAAGGGCGCGUAGGCGGCCUUCUAAGUCGAACGUGAAAUCCCCGGGCUCAACCCGGGAACUGCGUCCGAUACUGGAAGGCUUGAAUCCGGGAGAGGGAUGCGGAAUUCCAGGUGUAGCGGUGAAAUGCGUAGAUAUCUGGAGGAACACCGGUGGCGAAGGCGGCAUCCUGGACCGGCAUUGACGCUGAGUGAGCGAAAGCCAGGGGAGCAAACGGG
rnacentral:rRNA from 1 species